UGAUCAUCCAUGCGCGUGUGUGAUGAGGCCUUAGGGUCGUAAGCUCUUUCGCCAGAGAUGAUAAUGACAGUAUCUGGUAAAGAAACCCCGGCUAACUCCGUGCCAGCAGCCGCGGUAAUACGGAGGGCGUUAGCGUUGUUCGGAAUUACUGGGCGUAAAGCUCACCUAGGUGGAUCAGAAAGUAUGGGGUGAAAUCCCAUGGCUCAACCCUGGGACUGCCUCCUAAACUCCUGGUCUUGAGUUCGAGAGAGGUGAGUGGAAUUCCAAGUGUAGAGGUGAAAUUCGAUAUAUUUGGAGGAACACCAGUGGCGAAUGCGGCUCACUGCUCGAUACUGACGCUGACGUACGAAAGUGUGGGGAGCAAACAGGAUUAGAUACCCUGGUAGUCACACCGUUAA
rnacentral:rRNA from 1 species